CCUACGGGCGGCUGCAGUGGGGAAUAUUGCACAAUGGGCGCAAGCCUGAUGCAGCCAUGCCGCGUGUGUGAAGAAGGCCUUCGGGUUGUAAAGCACUUUCAGCGGGGAGGAAGGCGGUGAGGUUAAUAACCUCAUCGAUUGACGUUACCCGCAGAAGAAGCACCGGCUAACUCCGUGCCAGCAGCCGCGGUAAUACGGAGGGUGCAAGCGUUAAUCGGAAUUACUGGGCGUAAAGCGCACGCAGGCGGUCUGUCAAGUCGGAUGUGAAAUCCCCGGGCUCAACCUGGGAACUGCAUUCGAAACUGGCAGGCUAGAGUCUUGUAGAGGGGGGUAGAAUUCCAGGUGUAGCGGUGAAAUGCGUAGAGAUCUGGAGGAAUACCGGUGGCGAAGGCGGCCCCCUGGACAAAGACCGACGCUCAGGUGCGAAAGCGUGGGGAGCAAACAGGAUUAGAUACCCCGUAGUC
rnacentral:rRNA from 1 species